rnacentral:rRNA from 1 species
AUACGUAUGUCGCAAGCGAUAUCCGGAUUUAUUGGGCGUAAAGCGCGUCUAGGCGGCUUAGUAAGUCUGAUGUGAAAAUGCGGGGCUCAACCCCGUAUUGCGUUGGAAACUGCUAAACUAGAGUACUGGAGAGGUAGGCGGAACUACAAGUGUAGAGGUGAAAUUCGUAGAUAUUUGUAGGAAUGCCGAUGGGGAAGCCAGCCUACUGGACAGAUACUGACGCUAAAGCGCGAAAGCGUGGGUAGCAAACAGGAUUAGAUACCCUGGUAGUCCACGCCGUAAACGAUGAUUACUAGGUGUUGGGGGUCGAACCUCAGCGCCCAAGCUAACGCGAUAAGUAAUCCGCCUGGGGAGUACGUACGCAAGUAUGAAACUCAAAGGAAUUGACGGGG